UACGCAGGAAUUUCAGUUAGAAAACUGAAUUCGCAAGAUUCCGACUAUAAGUAUAGUAGUUGACGACUUUGUUGCCGUUUUGGAAAUGGUUCGCAGCGGGCUUGCAACAGACCUUUGGAUCAUCCCCAGUUGAUGCGGGAAGGAUUUUGGAAGCUUAAUUUGAGGAUUGAGACCUAGGGGAGUUGAUCCUUGGAAUUCCUUUGGACUGAUUUGAGCUUAGUACUAGAGCCAUCUACAGGAGAGGCUAGGGAUCGUGGCAAGGGAG